AAAAAAGAAGGAAUUCAAGACAAUGUAAAUUUUUCACUAAGACAAUGAGGGAACUGAAGAAGAUGCAUCAAUGGCAAUAGGCUCAACUUGGACAGGAGAAUCAGCGGUUACACGUUGAUCUUGACUCACAACAACAGAUUCAACUUGGGCAAGAUCAUAAGCAGAUGCAGUUUCAACUUGGCUUGCAGCAAUAGGUUCGAUUAGGCUCGAAGAAGAUGUGAUACCCGUAUGAGCUUCAACCACGGGAGCUUCAAUCAAUGGAGAAGGAAAGUCCUAUGCUUGCUAAGAUUGUUCAAUGGUUUCAUUAACCUUAGCUAAUUCUGACUCCAGGUCGAAGUUUUCUUGACCAACUUCAAUUAAGGUAUCACGACGUGAAUUCAAAAAAGCCCAACUUACCUCAACAUCAAAAUUUUCUUCAAGAAUCUCAUAAUCCUUUUUCCAAGCAGCAACCUCAUUCUUGAGCUCUUAAUUUUUGGCCAAGGAGGAAUUACAAGAAGCUUGAAGAGAACCAUGAGAGCUCUCUAAAGCACGUACCUUAUCAGUAGAGACUUGAAGAUCUUCUUAUGCUUGAGUUAAGUUUUGUACGAGCUCUUCAGCAUAAACUUAUUUUUAAUUCAACAGAGCCUUCAACGCCAUGUUCUCUUCGCUGGCCUUAGAUAGUUGUUAUGAAAAGGAGGAUUCAAGGCGUUCUUUUUCUUUUUCUUCUUGCUCAAGGAAUCCUUGAUAAGCGCUAUCUUCGAAGUUAAUGCUCAUACCUGUUGCUCUAAGGUACUCCUGCUCUCUUGUAAAUCCUUCAUGUUAAUUUGAGCACUGUCAAAUUGUUCCUUCUAAUUGACUGUUUCCAACUGAGAAUCACAUGCAACCUUCUCUGAAUCACAUGCUGCAUUCUCCAAGAGGGAGAUUCUGUUCAUCAGAUCUGUGCCAAUAAGAUUUGCCUAAGAAAAAGGAAGGGAAAUAAGAAUCCCAAAGAUAGAAAUUUUU
rnacentral:lncRNA from 1 species